rnacentral:rRNA from 1 species
UACGUAGGGUGCAAGCGUUAAUCGGAAUUACUGGGCGUAAAGCGUGCGCAGGCGGUUCUAUAAGACAGAUGUGAAAUUCCUGGGCUCAACCUGGGGGCUGCAUUUGAUACGCGUGGACUGGAGUGGGGAAGAGGGUCGUGGAAUUCCCAGUGUAGAGGUGAAAUUCGUAGAUAUCGGGAGGAACACCGGUGGCGAAGGCGGUUCUCUGGGCCUUACCUGACACUGAGGAGCGAAAAGCGUGGGGAGCGAACAGG